CUCGUAGGCGGCUCGUCGCGUCGACUGUGAAAACUCGGGGCUUAACCCUGGGCCUGCAGUCGAUACGGGCGGGCUAGAGUUCGGUAGGGGAGACUGGAAUUCCUGGUGUAGCGGUGAAAUGCGCAGAUAUCAGGGGGAACACCGGUGGCGAAGGCGGGUCUCUGGGCCGAUACUGACGCUGAGGAGCGAAAGCGUGGGGAGCGAACA
rnacentral:rRNA from 1 species